UGGGGAAUAUUGGACAAUGGGGGCAACCCUGAUCCAGCCAUGCCGCGUGAGUGAUGAAGGCCCUAGGGUUGUAAAGCUCUUUCGGCGGGGACGAUAAUGACGGUACCCGCAGAAGAAGCCCCGGCUAACUUCGUGCCAGCAGCCGCGGUAAUACGAAGGGGGCUAGCGUUGCUCGGAAUCACUGGGCGUAAAGCGCACGUAGGCGGAUCUUUAAGUCAGGGGUGAAAUCCCAAGGCUCAACCUUGGAACUGCCUUUGAUACUGGGGAUCUCGAGUCCGGAAGAGGUUGGUGGAACUCCGAGUGUAGAGGUGAAAUUCGUAGAUAUUCGGAAGAACACCAGUGGCGAAGGCGGCCAACUGGUCCGGCACUGACGCUGAGGUGCGAAAGCGUGGGGAGCAAACAGG
rnacentral:rRNA from 2 species